GAUGAACGCUGGCGGCGUGCCUAAUACAUGCAAGUAGAACGCUGAAGGAAGGAGCUUGCUCUUUCCGGAUGAGUUGCGAACGGGUGAGUAACGCGUAGGUAACCUGCCUGGUAGCGGGGGAUAACUAUUGGAAACGAUAGCUAAUACCGCAUAACAGUAGAUGUUGCAUGAUAUCUACUUAAAAGGUGCAAUUGCACCACUACCAGAUGGACCUGCGUUGUAUUAGCUAGUUGGUGAGGUAACGGCUCACCAAGGCGACGAUACAUAGCCGACCUGAGAGGGUGAUCGGCCACACUGGGACUGAGACACGGCCCAGACUCCUACGGGAGGCAGCAGUAGGGAAUCUUCGGCAAUGGACGGAAGGCUGACCGAGCAACGCCGCGGGAGUGAAGAAGGUUUUCGGAUCGUAAAGCUCGGUUGUAAGAGAAGAACGAGUGUGAGAGUGGAAAGUUCACACUGUGACGGUAUCUUACCAGAAAGGGACGGCUAACUACGUG
rnacentral:rRNA from 1 species